GCCUGGGUGGCUUAGUUAGUUGAGCAACUGACUUCAGCUUAGGUCAGGAUCUCACAGUCUGUGGGUUCAAGCCCCAUGUCAGGCU
rfam:Felis catus isolate Cinnamon breed Abyssinian chromosome C2, whole genome shotgun sequence.